UUGACCUCGGAUCAGGUAGGAAUACCCGCUGAACUUAAGCAUAUCAAUAAGCGGAGGAAAAGAAACCAACAGGGGUUGCCCCAGUAACGGCGAGUGAAGCGGCAACAGCUCAAAUUUGAAAUCUGGCCUUCUGGUCCGAGUUGUAAUUUGUAGAAGAUGCUUUUGGUGCGGUGCCUUCCGAGUUCCCUGGAACGGGACGCCUUAGAGGGUGAGAGCCCCGUACGGUUGGACGCCUAGCCUCUGUAAAGCUCUUUCAACGAGUCGAGUAGUUUGGGAAUGCUGCUCAAAAUGGGAGGUAAAUUUCUUCUAAAGCUAAAUAUUGGCCAGAGACCGAUAGCGCACAAGUAGAGUGAUCGAAAGAUGAAAAGCACUUUGGAAAGAGAGUGAAACAGUACGUGAAAUUGUUGAAAGGGAAGCGUUUGAAAUCAGUCGUAUCUGGUGGGAUUCAGCCGGGCUUUUGCCAGGUGUACUUCUCGUCCGAUGGGUCAGCAUCAAUUUUGACCGGGGGAAAAAGACGUGUGGAAUGUGGCUGUCUUCG
rnacentral:rRNA from 1 species